rnacentral:rRNA from 1 species
CGUGUAGGCGGUCAGGUAAGUGGAAUGUGAAAUGCCCCGGCUCACCCGGGGACCGGCAUCCCAAACUGCCUGGCUUGAGUAUGGGAGAGGAUGGAGGAAUUCCUGGUGUAGCGGUGAAAUGCGUAGAUAUCAGGAGGAACACCGGUGGCGAAGGCGUCCAUCUGGCCCAAUACUGACGCUAAGGCGCGAAAGCUAGGGGAGCAAACG